GAUGAACGCUGGCGGCGUGCCUAAUACAUGCAAGUCUAGCGAACGGACGAGAAGCUUGCUUCUCUGAUGUUAGCGGCGGACGGGUGAGUAACACGUGGAUAACCUACCUAUAAGACUGGGACAACUUCGGGAAACCGGAGCUAAUACCGGAUAAUAUUUUGAACCGCAUGGUUCAAAAGUGAAAGACGGUCUUGCUGUCACUUAUAGAUGGAUCCGCGCUGCAUUAGCUAGUUGGUAAGGUAACGGCUUACCAAGGCAACGAUGCAUAGCCGACCUGAGAGGGUGAUCGGCCACACUGGAACUGAGACACGGUCCAGACUCCUACGGGAGGCAGCAGUAGGGAAUCUUCCGCAAUGGGCGAAAGCCUGACGGAGCAACGCCGCGUGAGUGAUGAAGGUCUUCGGAUCGUAAAACUCUGUUAUUAGGGAAGAACAUAUGUGUAAGUAACUGUGCACAUCUUGACGGUACCUAAUCAGAAAGCCACGGCUAACUACGUG
rnacentral:rRNA from 1 species